CUCAGUGCUAGCUGGUAUCAACAGGAGGGUUAGCAGAAACUUUUCCUGUGAACAGGUUAACUCUCUACUGCAGGUUUUCUUGCACCACAUAUGAAGCAUCUGGUGCUGGCCAUGAGUGGUAACAGGAUUCUUGAUAAGAUGGCCCAUUGUUUUUGAUCAAGGAUGGUAAUUCCUGUGAGUAAACUGUACAGCGUAUCUGUGUUCAGGAGCUUGCACUGAGAUGAAUCAAAGUUAGCAACAGGCUUGGUAUAAGUUGUAUCUUACACCAUACAUUCUGUAAAGUAAUAAUCCUUAAUGAGAGCUGGUGAGCACCUCCAUAUUUACAGCAGUUUGUACUAUAGUCUAUAGAGUUGAGUAUUUGAAGGCAGAAUGUUUUCAGAGGGCUUCCAACCAGGGAAUUUUCUCCCAUCAUUCGCCUAAGAAUGUCUGAAGGCUGGGACCUACAAGGCAUAGCGUAAACUUCAUUUAUACAAGCUUCUGCCUGAUGAGGUGAUAGAGUCUACAUACGCUUCCAGUUUGAUCUUGAGGGGGAAUGUAUUUACAUGUAUUACAUGAAGUUUGUCUACUUAUUGUAUUGAAUAAUUCCUGGGUGCAACUGUAUUCUGAGGAGGAUGCGAUGGGCAUAUUUUUAGUCAGAUUUCAAAAGACGACAACUACCUGUAAUUUAUUAAAUUAAUGGAAUUAGACACUCAAUCAUCCAUAGUUACUUAUUUUCUACACUGCCUAAGAGAGUUCUAGGUGCCUCAUGGUAUGAGGUAUGGUACAUAUUUUGAGAGGUUAAAAAUCUUAAUUUAUCAUCAAUAGGCUCAGGCCUAUAAAAGACAGAAAACAGGGUGACACUUGACAUAAGAAUACAAACCAUACACUUGUAUACCAUUACAUUUGGCUUCCUGAUUUGUAAAGCAUGCAAUGGCUGAAAGGCUAAUAUUUAUACUCUUCUGAAGUUGUGAUCCCUCUAUCAUUGUUCAUUAAACACUUACUCCAGCUACUAAUACA